rnacentral:rRNA from 1 species
UACGAAGGGUGCAAGCGUUACUCGGAAUUACUGGGCGUAAAGCGUGCGUAGGUGGUUUGUUAAGUCUGAUGUGAAAGCCCUGGGCUCAACCUGGGAACGGCAUUGGAAACUGGCUUACUAGAGUGCGGUAGAGGGGUGUGGAAUUCCCGGUGUAGCAGUGAAAUGCGUAGAUAUCGGGAGGAACAUCUGUGGCGAAGGCGGCGUUCUGGACUGCAACUGACACUGAGAGACGAAAACCAGGGGAGCAAACGGG